ACGGGCGGUGUGUACAAGGGGUGCAUGGUUGUCGUCAGCUCGUGUCGUGAGAUGUUGGGUUAAGUCCCGCAACGAGCGCAACGCCUGUUCUUAGUUACCAGCGAGUCAAGUAGGGAACUCUAGGAAGAGUGCCGGUGAUAAAUCGGAGGAAGAUGGGGACGAGGUCAAAUCAUCAUGCCCUUUAUGUCCUGGGCUAGGGACGUACUACAAUGGCUGUAACAAAGGGAAGCUAAGCCGAGAGGUGGAGCAAAAGACAAAAAAGCACUCUCAGUUCGGAUGGAAGGUUGAAAUUCGGGUUGAUGAAGCCGGAAUAGCUAGUAAUGGCAGGUCAGAAUAGAGCCGUGAAUACGUUCCCGGGCCUUGUAUACACAGCCC
rnacentral:rRNA from 1 species